AUUGAACGCUGGCGGCAUGCUUUACACAUGCAAGUCGAACGGCAGCGCGGGCUUCGGCCUGGCGGCGAGUGGCGAACGGGUGAGUAAUGCAUCGGAACGUGCCCAGUAGUGGGGGAUAGCCCGGCGAAGGCCGGAUUAAUACCGCAUACGACCUGAGGGUGAAAGCGGGGGACCGAAAGGCCUCGCGCUAUUGGAGCGGCCGAUGUCGGAUUAGCUAGUUGGUGGGGUAAAGGCUUACCAAGGCGACGAUCCGUAGCUGGUCUGAGAGGACGACCAGCCACACUGGGACUGAGAAACGGCCCAGACUCCUACGGGAGGCAGCAGUGGGGAAUUUUGGACAAUGGGGGCAACCCUGAUCCAGCCAUGCCGCGUGCGGGAAGAAGGCCUUCGGGUUGUAAACCGCUUUUGUUCGGGAAGAAAUCCUCUGGGCUAAUACCCCGGGGGGAUGACGGUACCGGAAGAAUAAGCACCGGCUAACUACGUG
rnacentral:rRNA from 1 species